UAGGGAAUCUUCCGCAAUGGGCGAAAGCCUGACGGAGCAACGCCGCGUGAGUGAUGAAGGUCUUCGGAUCGUAAAACUCUGUUAUUAGGGAAGAACAAAUGUGUAAGUAACUAUGCACGUCUUGACGGUACCUAAUCAGAAAGCCACGGCUAACUACGUGCCAGCAGCCGCGGUAAUACGUAGGUGGCAAGCGUUAUCCGGAAUUAUUGGGCGUAAAGCGCGCGUAGGCGGUUUUUUAAGUCUGAUGUGAAAGCCCACGGCUCAACCGUGGAGGGUCAUUGGAAACUGGAAAACUUGAGUGCAGAAGAGGAAAGUGGAAUUCCAUGUGUAGCGGUAAAAUGCGCAGAGAUAUGGAGGAACACCAGUGGCGAAGGCGACUUUCUGGUCUGUAACUGACGCUGAUGUGCGAAAGCGUGGGGAUCAAACAGG
rnacentral:rRNA from 1 species